rnacentral:rRNA from 1 species
GACGAACGCUGGCGGCGUGCUUAACACAUGCAAGUCGAACGGUAAGGCCUUCGGGUACACGAGUGGCGAACGGGUGAGUAACACGUGGGUGAUCUGCCCUGCAAUUUGGGAUAAGCCAGGGAAACGGGGACUAAUACCGAAAUGGAUCAUGGCCUUCAGGGGCUGUGGUGGAAAGCUUUUGCGGUGUGGGGUGGGCCCGCGGUCUAUCAGCUUGUUGGUGGGGUAAUGGCCUACCAAGGCGACGACGGGUAGCCGGCCUGAGAGGGUGUCCGGCCACACUGGGACUGAGAUACGGCCCAGACUCCUACGGGAGGCAGCAGUGGGGAAUAUUGCACAAUGGGCGCAAGCCUGAUGCAGCGACGCCGCGUGGGGGAUGACGGCCUUCGGGUUGUAAACCUCUUUCAGUAGGGACGAAGCGCAAGUGACGGUACCUACAGAAGAAGCACCGGCCAACUACGUGCCAGCAGCCGCCGUAA